ACUCAUUUAGAUUAACUUCAACAUGUGGUGGUUGUUGUUGUGAUGAGCUUGAUCCACAAUGCUCACUUGAUGACCUUGCUCUCUUUACUAAAAAUUUGUUCAUGACCUUUAUAAAAUUAAAAACAUACCAAUACCAUAAUCAGGUUCGUUCAGGUUUAAUUGUUGGCCUACUGAAAUCAGCAAUUGCGUGGGUUGAAACUCCCCAAGUCUCUUCGUCAUCUUCCCUCAUUCUGGCAUUACCAGCUGUUUUAGAUGCUUUACAGACUACAGAUUGAAACGCCCAGCUCCUCCUAACCUAAAAAUGCUGCAGAUUUUGUCUAAUUUGUCGUUGGCUAUUGGGGAGAUGUUCCUCAUUGCUUUUCUAAUGGGUUUAGGCACUUUUAUUGAUCAAGGUGAGUCUCCUGACCAUUAUUUCCAGAAGUGCCCUGAAGAUCACCCUGUGCUUAGAUUUUUCACUUGGAGAUGGGUUCUUGAUCUUGGUUUUGAUCACAUGUUUUCAUCUCCUAUAUUUCUGGGGAUGUUGGCUCUCCUGGGUGCAUCCCUUAUGGCCUACACUUACACAACACAAAUCCCACUAAUCAAGGUUGCAAGAAGGUUCAGUUUCGAUUAGUUCUGUUUGUCAAUUUUCUGUAUUAGUCAAAUUCUUGAUCACUGAAGGCAGAGUUUGUUUCAUAGAUGAUCAUUUUUGCACUCUGCUGAGGCUAUCCUCAAGCAGGAAUUUUCAGAAUCGUUGCUGAGAGCAUCAAUCGAAGAUGUUGGCACUCUAUUAAUGGGAGCUGGACAUGAGGUUAUAUUGCCAUGGCUCAUGCUUAUCUGUCUUUUCCUUUUCUAUAUAUCCUUAAGAAUCAUAGAUUGCCUAGGACACAUAUUUAGGACAUAUAUUAAUGUGCUUUCUAGAUGUUGUGUAUGCUUUUCCACUCUUGGAACUGGUAAUUGUUUUUUCCAUUGUUCAUUAUGGUCUGCUCACAUGGGUACAUACAACUACAUGUACAAGGCAUUUUAUAUCAAAAAAAUAAAAAUAAAGUGGCUUCAAGAUCUUGCUGGAGUUCUUUCUUUCCGUGGUAACUUGAUGGUAUGUGUUUAUUAAUUGCCCCUUUGUUUGUGUGGUUUCUCAUCCUUGGGUUCUUCAUUCAGUUUCAUUAGUAGUUUUGCUUUCUCCUGUUGUAUUGAUUCUCUCACUGGGUUUUUCAUCAUGUGCCCUCUCUCAUUCUUCUUUUCUCUCUUUUAAAGAGACAAAAAUUACCAUCUUUAAUCUUCUAUCCUUUAUUUUCAAAUCCCAAUUAAAGAGACAAGAUAUAUGGUUCUAUUGUGAUAUCUUUUACACACUAAAGAAUAAGUAGAUUUACAAACAUUAGAUAAAUAAAGGAUCAAGAAACCUAACAAAGCAAUUAACUAAUUUGAUUUUGUAACCGAAAAUUAUAUCACAAGUCACAACAUAUUAUAACUGAAUUUUGAGUGACUAUGUGCUACAUGAAGCUCAAAACAGUAAAAUUAAUUUAUAAGAUAUUGGCUUUUGUUUGUGUUUCGUGAGAGCUGUCUGUGUUCUAUUCUCUGGAGUUCUGUGAGCUUUUGCAAAUCUGGUUGUCUAUGUGGCUUUUUGGUGGGUGUGUGGGGGGCUGUUGGUCUGGGUAGUUUAAGCUUCCAUGUGAUAUUUAUUGAUCUAGGAUAGUUGUUUAGCUCAACUUUUUUCUGUUAUUUAAGUGUAUAUAAGAUUGACUCUAUUGCUGAUGUUAGUUUUGUAAAUCUUCAUUUCCUAAUUUCUAUGUCUAUAUAUUAAUUUCCUAAUUAAUUUUACCGUGUAUACUUAGUAGUAACUUGACAUCAUUCUUUGAUCUCAUUGAUUGCCAUGAUUCUAUCUCUCUUUAGAUAGGGGUUCUCUUUCACCAAUGUUAUAGUAUGACCAUCCUUAAUGCUAGUGGAUAGUAGUAAAAAGGGAAACUUUGUUUCUAAUGUCUAUGUCUAUAUAUUCACUUCUUUAUGUCUUUAUUGUGUAUAUAUUGUGUGUAUUGUGUAUAUUACUGUGCAUACUAUGUGUUAUUGCAUAUGUUAUGGAAUGGACAUUAGAACAUGCUUAUCUUUGCAGUAUUUGGUGAUGUAGGUUGUACAAUACGCUAAAAUGAAAAGUUGUACAUACUUUACCAAAGUGUUUUAGAAUUUUAGCAUAUAUCUGUUGUUUGGUUGCAUGUCCCUUGAUUCCCUUCCCAACAUAGAGCAGUUAGGAUUCAUAAGUAACCAUGUUCCUAAUUAUAAAGUCCCAUUCAAUAAUUUAUGUCAUUUUUUAUUCACUAUUUUUCUCACCUAUGUGAUCAUUAAAGUUUGUAUAUUGUCUCCCUCCACCAUUUAUUCGAAAUAGUCUGAUUUGUAUAUAUAGCCCACUACAAUUGCCAUCUUCAAUGAAUUUUUAGGAACAACAUGUUUUUUUAAUUUCUAUCAUGGAACAAGCCAAACUGUCAAGCCUCCCAGAAGGAGGGAAAUGCUUUAUGGAACCACUUUACCAUGAUGGGGAGUACAUUAUCCUUUCUAAGUAGUUUGUCAGAGAGUUUCCAGACAUUAAGCUCUUUGCCAGAGAUCAUCUUUGUGACCCAGCAGUUAAUAUUUUUGAACCUCAAGUCAAAACUGUUUCUAAACAGGUACAUCUUAAAGGUGGAUUAGAGCAGAUUCGAGCAACACACCAAAUUGAUCUAUCUGCCACGUUUCAUUUCACAUACAUUUGUCAAGGGUGCUUUAAUAUCAGAAUCUUUUUUUGAUGAUGACAAUGAGGUGGACUUUGAAGGCCAAGAGGAGCAGCAUCCCAACAAUGAAGGAGAGUUCAUUUGGUUUCCUGAAAUCACUCAUGCACUCGCCGCUGGUGGUCAAACAUUGCUCAUUCCUGCUGGGGUUGUUACUAAGCAUCUCGAGCACCGACCUUCUGCAUUGAACAUGAUAUUGCUUAAUGGGAUUACUGAGGUGUGGGAGCCGAGAUGGGCCAAGGAUAGGCCUCGGAAGCGUGUUUUUGCCACACGCUGGUAUCAAUUCUGCAGGGGUGAAGUUUGAAUUUUAAGGAUCAAUUGCUUUUCUUCAAGAUGCAACAAGAAGACACCUACAAAGUUGUGGUCCAUCGGAAAUAAAGGGUGAUUUGUUGAAGUGUUGGUUGAUUAAUUUUCCGUGUGCUGUUUUCUCAUUUGAAGGAUUUUGGAAGAUUAACUUGAUUUUUCUUACUUGACUAAGGACACUUUAUCAAAUAGGAGCUAUGAAUUUAUAGUUUGUUUUGUUAUGCCUUUUGUCAUUGCUAUUAAUCCAAUUUAGGUAGAUGAUCCUUAAAGGAUUGCGAAUUGGAAUUAGAAAAAGCGGCAAGCCAACUUCACCAUCUAUUCUAGAACAUUUAUAUAAAUACUCAAUUGUUCCAUUAUUGGCUUAUCUAAUGUAAUUUUAUUUUUUACA